rnacentral:rRNA from 1 species
AGCUCCAAUAGCGUAUAUUAAAGUUGUUGCAGUUAAAAAGCUCGUAGUCGGAUUUCGGGGUGUCUCGCCUGGUCUGCCGAAAGGUAAGCACUGGGUGUCGCGCUCUUCCUUCUGGAGACGGCUUCUACUCUUAACUGAGCGGAGGUCGGAAACAGGACGUUUACUUUGAAAAAAUCAGAGUGCUCAAAGCAGGCCAAGAUUGCUCUUGCAUGGAUUAGCAUGGGAUAAUGAAAUAGGACUUUGGUGCUAUUUUGUUGGUUUCGAACACUGAAGUAAUGAUUAAAAGGGACAGUCAGGGGGCACUUGUAUUCCGUUGAGAGAGGUGAAAUUCUUAGACCAAUGGAAGACAAACUUCUGCGAAAGCAUU